GAACAAAGAAAUGGACAUCUUGGAAAUUAAGGAGGAAAGGAGGGGAGAUGGGAUCUUAGUGUUGGAAGUGAUUAAGCCUAAUAAGGCAAAAUCAACAUCUUACUCUUCAUUUUUCACACACUCCUCCCGUAGCCAACUUUAGUAAAAUGAAAAGAGAGAAAAGAGAGUAGAGAGAAAAAGAAAGGAAGAAAGAGGGAAAGAAAUAAAGAGGAGAGAGAGAGAGAGAAGAAAAUGAUGACUUUCUCCAUUUUCAUAUUCCUUCCCGUAGCCCAAUUUUAAGCAAGAGAGAAGAUAGAGGAAGAGAGGAAGAAGAAGAAGGAAAUGAAGAAAUAAAGAAGAAAAGAAAAAGAAAUCAAGAAAGGUAUUUUUCAAAAUCUUGAUAAUUUUAGUUUAUAGAUUUUAUGUAAAGAGUGCAUACUUAGGUAUGUAUUUAAUGAUUUAAACUUGUAUAAGCAUGAAUCAAGUGAGAGAAAUCAAGAAAUCAAAUGAAAAGAAAAAUCUGGAAAUUUUCAUAAAAAUUAGUUUACUACUUGAUUUUGUAAAAUCCAUAACUCUUUGUGUAUAAUGAGUUAGGAGAUGAGCUAUUUAUCAAAAGAAAGCUCUGGAAGUAAGCUAAAUGCAAAAAUUUGAAUCACCCAAAAAAUUCUUUGUAGAUUUUUCAUGGUGAUAGUUUGAGUGAAAUUGGUCCGAAGGACUUAUAGUCUGUAAAAAUCAGUUUUAUUAAGCUUUAUCGCGUGAGUUAUAAUUUUUAAUCCGACCGUUGGAUCGUUGUGAUUUUCGGAUAUGUUAUACAUAUAUAAGUUGAGUAUAUGCCUACAAAUUUUGAACCGUUAAAGAUUAAUUUAUGAUUUGUUAUGAAUUUUGUGAGGUGGCUGGCUUAGAAAUCUUCAAGCAGAAUUUUUCGGUAAAAAUAUCUCUCUAUGUUAGUCAUAAUUUGGGAAAACUUUCUUCUACAAAGUUGUAGAGAAUUAAAUUUUACAUGGAAGUGCAUAAGAUCUGUAUUUUUCUGAUAAAGGUGCUAAUUAUUAUGAAUUAUUAAAAUUUUUGAAUAUUAAAAUUUAUGAUUAAUUUAUCAGAAAAAUUAUUUGGGUUGAAAUAUUUUUACAGAAUGCUUAUAAUAUUAUCUUAGAAUUUUUGUAAAAUUUUGAUGAAUUAUUGAAAAGCAGAAGUAAUUAUUGUAUUUUUAAACUAUUUAUAGUUAGUUUGAAAAUAGAAGAAAUUCAUAGAAAAUUCUAUGAAUGAUGAAAAAUUAUGAAACUUGGUGAAAAAUGGUAUAAUAUUGUUUUAUAAUUUUUGGACAGUUUUGGAAAAUUUUUGAAUAACAAAAAUAUUUAUUAUAUUUUUAAGCUAUUUAUGGUUAGUUUAAAAAUAGAGGAAAUUCAUAGGAAAUUCUAUGAAUGGUAAAAAUUAUGAAUUUUGCUGAAAAUACUAUAAUAAUAUAAGAUUAAUAUUGAUGAUGUUUUAAUGAUAUAAAAGUAUGUGAAGUUAGUAUUUCUAUUUUGAAACUAUUAAAUGAUACUUUUUAUAAAUAGAAAUAAUUAUAGGAAAUUGUUGGAUAAUUAGAAAAAUGUGAAAAUUGUUUGAAAAAUUCAGAAUCAUAUUUUUAAUAUUUUUGAAGUGUUAGUAAGCUCAUGAGGUGUCGGGAUGUAAACGCACUAGUAACAAAUGAGUUAUGAUAAAAACAAAAAUAAUAUUCUUGUUAAAGAUGGUGAUAAUAUCAGAAUAGUGGAUUGUCAUAUAUGAGGUUUUAGAUUUCUCAAGUUUUAUUAUUCACUUCUAAAGUUUUGGAAUAUGAAUAAUGAUUUUAUGCGAUAAAUAGAGAUAACUUGAACGAAUAAUGAAUUGUUAGUUGGUUUAUAUGUUAUUCGAGAUGAAUAUGAUUUGGUGUUGAUCCGAUCCCUACUUUUAAUAGAAUUUAAAUUGUUCAUAGUAAGGUGUUGAUUUGAUUCUUACGUAAGAAGUCACUCAGUCUUUCAUUCAAUAAUUGUCACAGUAGUUAUUGCACAGCGACUCAUAUUAUUUGAUAUGAUAUAAUUAAACCAGUUGGCAGUAUUGUGAGUCUAUGUUAAUAAUUAUGAAUAAAUUGUUGAAAGAUUUAAAAUGUGUAAAUAAUUGAUAAAUAAAAGGGUGUUGAUUAAAGAUAAAUAUGAUAUACAGAUGUUUGUUCAAUUAUAUUUUUUUUACAAAAAUAAGUUUGGCAGGACUUGCCGACACUCUACUUUUUCUAAAGUAGUAUGGACCAUAACUGUAUUAUUAAACAAAUUUUGUUAAAACGUGUACAAGUUGGUUUAAUUUUCUCCAUGGGACCAUAAAUUUCACUACCAUUAUUAUAUACCUUAUGUGAUUAUUUUGUCAAAGCAGAUGUGCUAGUUGUUUACUAAAUUUUCAGUAUAAAUAGGUUGGCAGAUUGAGCCACUAAAGACACACCAUCACUACAUUGAAAAUAUAUAAUUCUUUUACUUCAAUAUUGUGAGUAUAAUAUUGUGAGUAUUUCUAUCGAGUGUAAUGUUACUCCAAGUGUAGAUAAAGAAUGCAAGCAUUGUUUAAGUUGAUCAAUUUCACAGAAAUCAGAAUCAAGUCACAUGCUAAAGGUAAGGGAUAUCAUUAUUGUGGUAAGGAGGUAUCAUUUUUAUGGUAAAAAGAAUUUCAUUUUCUUUCAUACUCCAUAUUAUGAUAAGAUAUUAUUAUUUGUUUAUUCAGUUAAUCUAUAAAUGGUGAAAAGUCCUGAAAGGAUUAGAAUAUUCUUAAUAGUUUGUGCUUCAUUUAUUAUUAUGUUAUCAAUUUAGACUAUGGAUAAUUAAGUUGAAAAUCAUUAAGAUCUAUGUUAUCUUAUUAUUAUGAUGAGUUAUGUUUAUUCAUUAUAUAUAUCAUUGUCAUCAUUCUCAUGUUUAUAUUGUGUUGAAAGUCAUCUUUGGCCCAUAGUGCAUAGAUGGACUUGGUAUGAUUAUGACCAGGAAUUAUUCGAUAUAAUCAUGACCGUAAUGUUAUAAAUGAUGUGGUAAAAGUCAUCUUUGGCCCGUAGUACAUAGAUGGACUUGGUAUGAUUAUGACCAGAGAUUAUUCGGUAUAAUCAUGAUCUUAGUUGAAA
rnacentral:lncRNA from 1 species